rnacentral:rRNA from 1 species
AGUGAACGCUGGCGGUAGGCCUAACACAUGCAAGUCGAACGGCAGCACAGUAAGAGCUUGCCCUUAUGGGUGGCGAGUGGCGGACGGGUGAGGAAUACAUCGGAAUCUACUCUGUCGUGGGGGAUAACGUAGGGAAACUUACGCUAAUACCGCAUACGACCUACGGGUGAAAGCAGGGGAUCUUCGGACCUUGCGCGAUUGAGUGAGCAGAUGUCGGAUUAGCUAGUCGGCGGGGUAAAGGCCCACCAAGGCGACGAUCCGUAGCUGGUCUGAGAGGAUGAUCAGCCACACUGGAACUGAGACACGGUCCAGACUCCUACGGGAGGCAGCAGUGGGGAAUAUUGGACAAUGGGCGCAAGCCUGAUCCAGCCAUACCGCGUGGGUGAAGAAGGCCUUCGGGUUGUAAAGCCCUUUUGUUGGGAAAGAAAUCCAGCUGGUUAAUACCCGGUUGGGAUGACGGUACCCAAAGAAUAAGCACCGGCUAACUUCGUGCCAGCAGCCGCCGCGGUAA